CCGGAAGAAGAUGCAAAUUUUCAAGAGUUAACAUCCAAGAAGCGCUGGCAGCGGGGCAGGGUGUAUGUGCUGUGGCUGAACCUCCAGGCUGUGACUGCAGUGAGUGGCUUGCUGACAUUCCAGUCCCCAAGACCUGGGCAGAGUUGAACAGAGGGCAGCGGAUGGUAAUGGGGACCUCGUAGAGGCUGUGAUCCCCGGUGGCGGCAUCGUUGCCAGGAAAUGAUCUUCUGCCAUAUUGAGAUGGAGAACAGCCUACCUAGCGAACAAGGCUGAUUUGCCAUCAGUAAAUUAUGAAAUGGUGCCUGUGUUUACACUUCUAUUCUCCAUCAAGGCAUCUGUUUAUUUAAUUGAUGGUCUCUGCCUUCUUUAAAGGUUACUCUGAUAUUUAGCAGGGUGUUGAGAAGGGUUGAGACGUGAUAAAUUAUGCCCGCAUUUACUCUUCCCCAUGACCACGGCCAUCACUGCAAACCCUUGCAGCCUACACUUCAUCCAUUCCGUGCUGCGCGGGUUGUUUACCACUAUGGAAAGUCACCAAUGAGCCAAUAAUGCUAAAUAUAAGGGUCUCUUCUUAGUUCUUA